UAAAACCUAAUUUGUCGCGCGUUCGAAGGGAAGCUUCUCCCCUUUUGCAUUCGUCGUUCUUCGUUCUCCCCUUUCACCGUUCUCAAGCUUUCACGAUUCUCAAGCUUCCACCGUUCAUCGUUCUCCCUUCGUUCAUUCACCGUUCAGUUCAUCGUUCACCGUUCACCGUUCACCAUUCGAAACUCGUACAGAAGCGUGAGCCAUCGGUGAUAAUGCCUCUGCCAAAGACUUAGGAAUAGACACAGAGGAGAGAGACCCUUUCUUUCUAUGGGUUUUCCAAUGGUCAUUUCUUAUGCUUAUAUUUAUGUGUUUUUGCUUUUAGAAAGUAGGGGGUGUUUGACUGUGUUUUCUACUUUUUCGUUCAGGAAAUCACUACAUUUGUAACUAAUUUGAAUAGCUUGCAUCCUAUUUUGACUGAAUGUCGUGUCUUGAAAUCAGAACUGGAGCUUGCUCUUAUUCAAUUUGCCGAUGAUAUUAGCUCAUAAGCUCAUGUUCAGGAAACAAUUAGCUCGAAGGCCUUUACUGAAAGGUUGUCCUCAAGGCUCACUGAUGUUGUUAUAUCAGUUAUGAAACCUGGAAUAAACUGGGUUGAAAUGUACAAGUAGGCUUUAUUUAGAUCCCGUCUUUACUUUCUUUUGUGCAUAUAAGAUAGUUUGAGGAGUAAAUUGUGCGACUCAUUUCUCUGGAAUAAACGACUCAUUUCUUUAUUUAGAUCUCGUAUUAUGUCUUGAUCUUGACUUUAUUAGGUUGUCUAAUUACAAGCUCAGGACAUUGAACCAUUUUCUUCUUUGACCACAGUACUGAAGGUGCGUUGUUCUGUCUUCUACUCUUGUCUAACUUCUCUUUUUGGGGCAGAUCAUUAGCAAAAUAUUUGAUGCUUUAAGUUGCGUGCAUAAUAUAGGUUUUUCUGUUUGUUUUGGUGUGUUCUAGGAUUUAAUUUUUUGAGUAAAUGUUGUAACUAUGUUCAGUGCUUGCUCUGUUAUAACAUGUCUUUUAUAUGCAUAAUUUUUUUAGCUGGAAUUUCUCUAUCAAAUAUAGUUGCACCACCCAUUGUCUCUGGUCACCAACCAUGUUGCCAUGGACAUUUGGGUUACCCAGCGAUUCUUGGUAAAUAGCUACCUUCAUUGAUGUUUUUUUUAUAUCACGUUCAUGGAUUUGGAUGAUUUUGUUAUGUAUGAAUUCUGGCAAAUGAUGACAAAUUUGGAAUCUACAAAUCAAUAUCGUGGUUCCUCCUAGGAUUUUGUGUAGAAUUUUUGCUCAAAUAUUGUUGUUUAAUUGAUGAUGAAUUGCUUGCUUUGUCUAGGGAUUGAAUUUUAUGGUGUUUCAUGUGGUCUUUGAUAAUGA